UGGAGGCAACUCAUGAUCCAGCCAUGCCGCGUGCAGGAAGACUGCCCUAUGGGUUGUAAACUGCUUUUAUAUAGGAAGAAACCUUUCCACGUGUGGAGAGCUGACGGUACUAUAAGAAUAAGGAUCGGCUAACUCCGUGCCAGCAGCCGCGGUAAUACGGAGGAUCCAAGCGUUAUCCGGAAUCAUUGGGUUUAAAGGGUCCGUAGGUGGAUAAUUAAGUCAGAGGUGAAAGUUUGCGGCUCAACCGUAAAAUUGCCUUUGAUACUGGUUAUCUUGAAUCAUUGUGAAGUGGUUAGAAUAU
rnacentral:rRNA from 1 species